rnacentral:lncRNA from 1 species
CCUUGAUAUUAUAAUAUGUAUUUAUUGACACAUUUCAAUUUAUUAUUCUACAGUUCCAAAAGUACCUGUGAGAAAUGGCAGGGUAUCAAUAAGUUUGAUUGAGCAAUUUGUGCAGAAAAAGGUUACCAAAUAGCAGCUGAUGCGUGGUGGCUGCCCGUGUGCGUCCUCUUGGCAUCCAACAAGCAGGCGGCAAUCGGAGUGGGCUCAGCCCCCAGCACAGGUGAUUGAGGCGAGAUUGCCUCACCUUGUGUUUGCUGUGGGGGGAUAUUGAGCAUGCAGGCAGUUCCUGCAGCUCAGCAGAAACUUGAUAUCUUGUGGUAUCUUGUUUGUGUGUCUAAGCCACGGAUGUGCAUGCCUUGCUAGUUCUGUUAACAAUUGAAAACAAAUGUUUAUUUAAAUUUAUUUACACAUCCCACACACAGAUUGAGUGUAGGUGUGCUGGCAGAAGUGAGACUUUAGGAAGGAUUUCAUAAAGGUGAAGGAAAUGGCUUAGCAGCCAGGUUUCAAGGAGACUCCCCAAAUGCAAGGAGCAACAUGAGACUGCGGAGGCAUUUGCGAUGGUAUCGAGGUAGGCGCUGCUGGCAGAGCAGGUGGAGUUUGUGAGGCAGAGGAGCUGACCUCAGUUUCAGAGUUUGGAAUAUUGCUGAAGAUCUAAAUUCCACAUUACUUCAGAAGAUGAGCAUGACUGAAAAGUAAGCUAGCUGUGUUUUCCAAGAGCUGUUUGAUCCAAAGUGGGCAAAACCACCUUAGAAACAUGAGAAAAAAAAGAAAAGAUUCUUUGCUGCUGCUGCUUUCGAAGGAAAUGUUGGACAGCCUACAUCCUGCAACAUUACUAAUCAGCAGCAGGAUGAAAAGAAUAUUGAAAAAGUUGUAUCAACGAAAAUCACCAAAUCUGGACUACCAAGAAGAGAAACUCCCCCAAAGUAAUCCUUCAUAGACUGUCUUGGACACUUGGAAGAAAACAAACAAACAAACAAAAAAACCAGAACAACAACAAUCCCUAAUCACAACCUCACGAUCAGAACUGCCUAAUCAAUUUCCUUUGAAGAGUUUGCAAGCAACAGGCACUACUUUUAGUGCUUGAACUGCAAGUGAAAUGAGUUAUAAACAAGACUUGAACAAAAGUGGAGUUGAUAAAUUUAUUUUCAUUACCCAUUAAAAAAGACACACAAAAACAAACAAGCAAGGUAAUUUUUAAAAUCUUAACCUAACUCCCUUUUACUUUAUCUCUUUAUAUCUUUUUAAAAAUGCUUAAAUUAAUAGUUACCUAAGAAGCUCUGUAAGUGUAAUAUUACACUGUAACUGUAAUCUUGACCACUUGCUUAGUAUUAAGAAAUCAUUGCUUAAAUGGUUCUAUUAUUCAAAAUAAAUGGAUAUUUUCAGUA